CUCCCCUUUCCACCUUAGGAUUCAAGGCCCACCAUCCCAGCCGGCCUCCACCAUUGCUCACUGCUUCAUCGUUAGAUGACGGAUCUGACAGGGUCCGAGUGAGAUGCAAUAAAUGGCUACAGUCUGGGUUGUGGUGGGCCAGUGACCUUUGCAAAAUCUGGAUACCACCUGGCAGUGCUGCUGUAGACGGGCUUCCUGCAUUAAGAAGAGGCUACAGCAGACCACUCCUGAAAUCUCCGGAUUCCAGAAUUCCGAGUCUCAGGUUCUGCGCCUCAUAGAAGAGACAGAAGCAAAGACCCAUGGGCCAUGUCCUGUGACUGCACUGUUUCAUUGCAUCCUUGCAUCACAACAUCCUAGCAAGCACUGUGCGCAGCACCGGGGCAUGCCUUAGGUGCUGAGCAAUCAUGUGCUCAUAUGAAGAGGACCUGCUUGCAGCACUAAUGUCUUCAGGUGCUGAGAGACGGAGCGGGCCUGCGCUAUGGAAAUGUGACCCUGAGCCACCUCAGACCUGAUGGUAGGUGGUUCCCUGACCUGCAGAAAAUGGCUUCAGACUCACUUCCACCCUUGAACUCACGCUCCUCCUGCCUUCAGUCUGCCUCUCUCUCCCUGCUAAGUCUAGUCCCAGCGUAUGCAGUUGGGGUGAUGGAGGCUCCCCUGAAGAGUGCACAGCCCUGCUCAUCCUUUUGCCUCAGAAACUAGAGCAUGGGAGUUUAGGUCAUAAGGGUAAGCCCAGACUGAAGCCCGAGAGGCCCCGGGAUCUGAUAGGGGAGUUCAAUUUUCAUGGCUUGGUGUCCGAUUGGUCUGAUGGAGGCCCUGGGCCCCUGGUGGUGCUUCUGGCUCGUGGUGGUAAUAGAGCCAGAGAUCAGAGUGGAGAGCAAGGAGAUCAGGUUCUUGGGCAAAGACCAGAUUGGUCUGUGUCAAUGGGCCUGCACUCUGGGGAGAAG
rnacentral:lncRNA from 1 species